AUUGAACGCUGGCGGCAGGCUUAACACAUGCAAGUCGAGCGGAGAGAGGUAGCUUGCUACUGAUCUUAGCGGCGGACGGGUGAGUAAUGCUUAGGAAUCUGCCUAUUAGUGGGGGACAACAUUUCGAAAGGAAUGCUAAUACCGCAUACGUCUUACGGGAGAAAGCAGGGGAGCUUCGGACCUUGCGCUAAUAGAUGAGCCUAAGUCGGAUUAGCUAGUUGGUGGGGUAAAGGCCUACCAAGGCGACGAUCUGUAGCGGGUCUGAGAGGAUGAUCAGUCACACUGGAACUGAGACACGGUCCAGACUCCUACGGGAGGCAGCAGUGGGGAAUAUUGGACAAUGGGCGAAAGCCUGAUCCAGCCAUGCCGCGUGUGUGAAGAAGGUCUUCGGAUUGUAAAGCACUUUAAGUUGGGAGGAAGAGCAGUAAGUUAAUACCUUGCUGUUUUGACGUUACCGACAGAAUAAGCACCGGCUAACUCUGUGCCAGCAGCCGCCGUAAUAC
rnacentral:rRNA from 1 species